rnacentral:rRNA from 1 species
CAAGCGUUGUCCGGAUUUAUUGGGCGUAAAGAGCGUGUAGGCGGCUUGGUAGGUCCGCUGUGAAAACUCGAGGCUCAACCUCGAGAUGUCGGCGGAAACCACUUGGCUAGAGUCCGGAAGAGGAGAGUGGAAUUCCCGGUGUAGCGGUGAAAUGCGCAGAUAUCGGGAAGAACACCUAUGGCGAAGGCAGCUCUCUGGGACGGUACUGACGCUGAGACGCGAAAGCGUGGGGAGCGAACAGG